rnacentral:rRNA from 1 species
AUGCCUUCCUCCCCCGCCCCAUCCCCCGUCGUCGUCCUCAGCGACACCGAAAGCGGCGGCGACGGCGACGCCGUCUCCGACGCCGCGCCCUCGAGGCCCGCCGCCGAGCUCAUCGCGUCCACCCUGAGCACCCAGGCCGUGGUCGACGCCCUCUGCAAGAAGCACGGCGUGCCGGCGGAGUUCGCCCGGCGCCCCGCCGGCGAGCUGCGCGCGUGCAGCGUGCCGCCGCCGGGGGCCGUCUCCGUGUAUGCCCACGCGCUGGAGGCCGGAGUGCGCUUCCCGCUGCACGCCUUUUUCGGGCAGGCGCUCACCCACUUCCGCCUCGCGCCGGGCCAGCUCACGCCCAACGGAUGGCUCGUCCUGGUCGGGUUCGUCGUGCUCUGCCACGAGGCCGGCGUGAGGCCGUCGACGGCGCUGUUCCGGCACUUCUUCUCCCUGUCGACAUGGAAGAACGGGGACGGCUGGUACUUCUUCCGCUGCAGGGGAAAGGGAUCCGCCCCAACGCUCUUCACCGGCCUUAGCUGUUCCAAAUUUGAGAGUGACUGGAAAGGCCGGUUCUUCUUCCUGACGUCGCCGGGUCCAUGGCCGUGCCCCGUGAACUGGGGCGACUCGCCGCCCAAGAGCUCCGCCGCAGAUCCGGUGCUAAUGAGCCAGCAGGAGUCGGCGGGUAAGCUGCUACAGGCACACGGCGUCCCGCUUGACCUCCGGAUUUACCUCCGCGACGCAAAUCUUCCUGCAGUCUUCUCCUCCGGCGCACCUCCACCUCCACCUCUGCCUUCUCCCCGUCCUACUGUUGCCAAAGUGGCGGAUCCGCCCGUCCGCGAGAUGACUGACACUAUGCCAGUGGAGAAGACGGCGGCGCCGGCAGCAGGGACGGAGCAGGUGAAAAGCGAGGCGCACGGCGACAGGCUUCCAUUGUCCGGAAAGAAGAGGAAACGGGAGGAGUCUACUGCAAAAGACGGGCUUGGCUGCGCCGCCCCGGUGUCCGACCCGCGGUCACCGCGCUCGCCCGUGCCCGACACACACGACGGUGACACUGCCGACUGGAAGGUCGCACGGAAGGUGCUAGAGUGCAUCGUCACGCCGUCGCGGGAGGACAAGUUCGCGUCGGCGAAGCCCUCAGACAUCGUCGCGUCGAGCUACGUGGCAAUGCUCCAGGCCGCGAACUACGUGUCCUUCUCCUCGGGCUACGCGCUGGAGCUGGAGGAAAAGCUGGUGGCGCGGGAGCGCGACAACAUGGCGCUGUGGGAGCAGCUGGACAAGGAGAAGACGGCGAGGGAGGCCGCGGAGGCGGACCUGGAGAAGGCGAAGGCCGAGCUCGCGGCGGCGAAGUGGGCGACUGAGGCGGAGCUGGAGAGCGCCAGGACGGCGGCGGUGCAGCAGUUCAUGGGGUCGGAAGAGCACACGCGGCGGCUCGCGGAGCAUGCGCUGGCGGGGUACGAGCGCGGCGCGGAGGAGAUGAAGGGCGUCGCGCUCCGGCACUACCCGCGCCUCGACGCUGCCAAGCUGGUCCUGCCGCUUGAUUAG